GAAGUCAAGAUGGCUAACCAGGCACAGCCAGGUGGAUCAUUUCUUACCAAAAGGAUGAGACUUCAGGAAGACUGGCACAUUCUGAGCAGAUCUUUGUGGGGAAGGCAUUGAGAGUGGACAGAACAGAACUCUGCAUUUUGAAGAAGCUUUGGAAGUUGAGGCUUGAACUUGGCCUUUAAGAACAGCUUCAGGCACGUCUCAGCAUGCCUCCCUCUCAUGGAAGUUCCCAGGAAGCCCACCAUGUACGUGUCUGUACGUGUCUGUAGAAGAGGAGGAAAUUUUUUUCCGGGAGCCGGCUGAUUACACAAAGAACAAAGGUAUUUCUAUGUUUGGUUUUGCUCCCUUAUCUGUGCAGCUGCAGCUUGAUUUUUCAGGCUGUUUCUAUGUUUAAAAGAAUUCUACCAAGAGGAAUGAAAACCCUAAGUGCGAGUAGGGACAUUGUGCAUUGAUCGUUCAGACUACUUCAUGCUGGAGAGGGCAUCAUAUGGGAUGCAAAGCAGGAAUACAAGCAAUGAGCGCCAUGCCUGAAAAACCUGUUGCUGUACACAUCUAUACUCUUCAAUCAACAAAACAUGAUGCUAAAAAUAGAAAAGAGGGAGAUGUAGGAGUUCAGUCAGUGUGUUGGGAAAAGUUGUAAGAAAAAUUAUAGGAAGACGCAAACAUUCUUGGAAGGCAGGAAGGUUUUGCUAAAGC
rnacentral:lncRNA from 1 species